UGGGGAAUGGAGGAAGCUUAGGAAGAGGAGGGCAUGGCUUCUUGUGAAAUGGAGGGAUUUUUGGGAUUGGAGGAAGAGGCUUGUAAAAGGUUGGUGGUUUGGGUUUAUAGGUCGGAACCGGAGGUGGUUUAUAAACUGGCGGUUUUGGUGUCGGCGUGUAGAUAGGAACAGGAGGUGGUUUAUAAACUGGCGGUUUUGGUGUUGGCGUGUAGAUAGGAACAGGAGGCGGCUUGUAGACUGGUGGCUUAGGUUUUGGCUUGUAAACUGGUGGUUUAGGUGGAAAAGGUUUCUUGACAGGUGGACAUGGUUUUUUCGUUGGUACUGGUGGCGGAAGAGGCUUUAUUGGUGCUGGUGGCGGCUUGUAGACUGGUACUGGCGGAGGGUAAACUUUUGGUGGUGGCUUAUAGACUGGUACUGGUGGAGGGAGUACCUUUGGUGGUGGCUUGUAGACUGGAACUGGUGGAGGGAGUACCUUUGGUGGGGGCUUGUAGACGGGAACUGGAGGAGGGAAUUCCUUUGGUGGUGGCUUGUACACUGGAACUGGUGGAGGGAAUUCCUUUGGUGGUGACUUGUAGACUGGAACUGGUGGUGGAAGUGGUUUAGGAGGGAAAACCUUAGGUGGGAAUGGAGGAUAAACCUUAGGUGGGAAUGGAGGAUAAACCUUUGGAGGAAAUGGAGGGUAAACCUUUGGAGGAAAGGGAGGAAAAACCUUAGGAGGGAAUGGAGGGAAGACCUUAGGAGGGAAUAGGUAUGGAUGAUGGCCAAAGUUUUUCAGUGGGGGAAAUUUCCACUUAUGCAAAGGUGGGAAUUUGGGUAGUGGUGGGUACUUGAAAUGAGGCCAUAAGAAAGCUGAAGUGCAUGUCACUGAUGAAAAUCUCAGUUUUCCUGCCAACCCAAAUGUGUGUUUUCCAUUGUUUUUGGACUUCAACACAAUCUUGGACGACUCGAGGCCACUAUGGGUAGGGCAUGGUGCAGCUGAGGCACUGUGAAGUUGAGCAUAGCAUUCUUCUUUCAGUUUCCCUUUUUUUACCAAAUGACUAGGAAGACCCACUGUGAAUCUUCCUUCUUCAUCUAGCUCACCAACUCCUCUUGUUUUGAACUCCCCAUUUUCUG
rnacentral:lncRNA from 1 species